rnacentral:rRNA from 1 species
UGGGGAAUAUUGCACAAUGGGCGCAAGCCUGAUGCAGCCAUGCCGCGUGUGUGAAGAAGGCCUUCGGGUUGUAAAGCACUUUCAGCGAGGAGGAAGGUGGUGAACUUAAUACGUUCAUCAAUUGACGUUACUCGCAGAAGAAGCACCGGCUAACUCCGUGCCAGCAGCCGCGGUAAUACGGAGGGUGCAAGCGUUAAUCGGAAUUACUGGGCGUAAAGCGCACGCAGGCGGUUUGUUAAGUCAGAUGUGAAAUCCCCGGGCUCAACCUGGGAACUGCAUUUGAAACUGGCAAGCUAGAGUCUCGUAGAGGGGGGUAGAAUUCCAGGUGUAGCGGUGAAAUGCGUAGAGAUCUGGAGGAAUACCGGUGGCGAAGGCGGCCCCCUGGACGAAGACUGACGCUCAGGUGCGAAAGCGUGGGGAGCAAAACAGGAUUAGAUACCCUGGUAGUCCACGCUGUAAAACGAUGUCGAUUUUGGAGGUUGUGCCCUUGAGGCGUGGCUUCCGGAGCUAACGCGUUAAAUCGACCGCCUGGGGAGUACGGCCGCAAGGUUAAAACUUAAAGGAAUUGAC